UACGUAGGGUGCCAGCGUUGUCCGGAAUUAUUGGGCGUAGAGAGCUCGUAUGCGGUCUGUCGCGUCGAAUGUGAAAACCCGGGGCUCAACCCCGGGCCUGCAUUCGAUACGGGCAGACUAGAGUUCGGUAGGGGAGUCUGGAAUUCCUGGUGUAGCGGUGAAAUGCGCAGAUAUCAGGAGGAACACCGGGGGCGAAGGCGGGACUCUGGGCCGAUACUGACGCUGAGGAGCGAAAGCGUGGGGAGCAAACAGG
rnacentral:rRNA from 1 species